UGCGGCAACGCUAGAUUUAGUUUCUGACGCUUUGAGGUAGGCCGUGUGGGAUUGUCGUCCCAUUUAAUUGUUGAAGCCUGAGGAGAGCUGUAAUAGCGAGAAUUAGGUGUAUGCUUGAAUAGCCGUCCUUAUGGAUGGUUCGGUUGAUCCAUGGAGCCCUUGAAAAGGAAAUUAUUUGAAUUCUUUGUUUUCGUACCGAGAUCCGACACAGGUGCCCCUAGGUGAGAAGCCUAAGGCGUGUUAGGGUAAACCAGCUAAGGGAAAUCGGCAA
rnacentral:rRNA from 1 species